rnacentral:lncRNA from 1 species
GCUAUUACAAGAAGUAUCUGUGGCAUGUAUUUGUCAGAAGACAAAGCAAUAAGUGUUUCUCUUCAUCAUAUGAUGCGAGUCUGCACUGUGCAAGAGAUCUAGAAUCGAUAUUUACUAGCUCUACCAAAACACAAAACAUUCAAGUAGUAUAUAACUGUAAUGCAAGCCCUUGCAUGGCAAUCCAAAUUUAUUGAACUACUGAUGCUAAGUCAUACAAAAUUGCACCACUUUAAUUAAGGCUUUUAGUUUACAUUUGGCCACCUCAAAGCAGUUGUAACAUUAGGUUGGUCAAUUUAAAUACUGUGGCUCCCUGUUGGAUAUACACACAAUCUUUACACCCAAACGUUAAUGCAUACAAAGCAACAAGGCAUUGUUAAAUAAAUCAGCAAAAAGUUAAUUACUGCAACUUAGGCCCUGUGACCAAUUACACAUGAUUAAAAUUACUUCCCACAUUCACAUCCACAGUACUCUUCCACCAUUUAACAUCUCAACCAAAACGUUACACAUGUAAAACAAUCACUAACAGGCAAAAGUACUAAACCUGUAUAUUUGGUAUUGCAAAUACACUUAUGCAUGAGCAAGCAAGGGAAUUCACAGUGAGAAUCUACAGCUGCAGAAGCCCGAAAAUGAUUUACAAAAAAUUGUUAAAUCAUUAAAAAAUCGUUUUAAAAUAUACACUUCUUGUUGUAGACCCCCACUGUACACACAACUAUAAACAUUGUUCCCUAUGUAAACAAGGAAAAGGAAACAUACAAUAAAAGGUUGAAAAGUCUGGACAUUUCCUUCCCAACAGAUAUUAAAGGCCAUGUCUUUAGUCAGACGUUAUACUGAAAGGACUCUUAAAGACUAGAUCACUGUCUCCACAGGUUUUUCCUAAAAUUAAAAAACUAUAUAGCUGUUGUGUUAAUCAAAGCGCUUUUGUACAAUACCAUGAUGAUGAUCCUGUAUUUCUUUAAAAAAGUUACAAUAAGCUACAAAUACCGAUGAAGCAAAGUUAUCUGGAGUAGUCUAUAUAGGAGCUCUUUGGACUUUCUUUUAUUAUGCUAAAAUAGUGGUGCUUUUAGGAUUUACAUUAUUGUACUCUCCAAUAGAAAGUGGGGAUUGUUGAAGUAUACAGUACACAGUUUUCAUACAUGUACAACAUUGGUGGAUGAACAAUGUCUCUUAUCAGUAAUACUGGAUGUAGGCUCUGGUUUUACCAGUUGCAUACACUUAGAAUAUUUAUAAGUAAAAAUCUCUCGUGACACUGGAAAGUGAUUAGAAUGUGCAAACUGAUGUAGUAGCUUUCAUCCAUUUCUUAAAGGGUACCACCACAGGAAAGUCCAUUUAAGAUGUUGGUAGGUUUAAUAAAGUUGGAAUGCUGGCACUGUUGAAUUGGGCAACAGUUCUUCAGACCUGGCUCAGAGCUACAGUACAGCUAUGUAUUAAAGUAGCUGACAUGAUGACUUUUUGCGUGCUUUUCCAGGCACUGGAGUUUUUCUGUUAAUUUGUCGCACAAGGUCAUAAAAGAUCUCAUUAACAUUUAUCUUUGAUUUUGCAGAGGACUCUAAGAAUGCACAAUUAUUCCAUUGCCUUGCUAGGUUCUGACCUUGUUCCUUUCCCACAACUCUUUCAUCUUCCAAGUCACACUUAUUGCCAACCAGAAUCAUAGGCACAUCAUCAGUGUCUUUGACUCGAAGAAUCUGUUCUCUUAGAUCCUGUAAAUCAUUAAACGUAGACUGUGCUGUGAUGGAAUAUACUAAUGCAAAACCUUGUCCAUUUUUCAUGUAUAGGUCUCUCAUUGCUGUAAACUGUUCUGUUCCUGCAGUAUCUAAGAUUUCAAGCAUACACUGUUGCGCAUCUACUUCAACUUGCUUUCUGUAGGAGUCUUCUAUCGUAGGAUCGUAUUUUUCAACAAAUAUUCCUUGAACAAACUGUACAGUCAGAGCAGACUUUCCAACACCUCCAGAACCAAGAACCACUAGCUUGUAUUCACGCAUGGUGCAAGAGAGAAAUCGCCCUCAAUACCGGACAGCGCCUCCACUCCCCGCCGCCGCCGCCGCCGCCGUCGCCUCGCCGGCCGAGCCCGCUGCGCUCCGCCCGCUGCCUCUCGCUGCUGUGCCGGGGCGCGGCUUGGGGCCGUCGCCGUGACGCCGCACGCCCAGCCUCGCUCUGGCGCGGCGGGGGCGGGGGCGGUGCGGAGGGGUGGGCUGACCCCGUCGCCGCGUCCCCACUGCGCAGGCGCGGGGCCCUCCCCCACCCCCAUCCCGCCGGCCCCCCCCCGCCGGGCCCCGCGCGAUGCCCUGAGGGGCGGCCCGGCCCCGGGCGUCGGGCGUGUGUCGGCCUCGGGGCGGGGAGGGGUCGGACGGCACUGUGCUGACUGGAAACCGCUCUGGGGCGGCUGUGCGGUCUCCCGGCGGCAAGAAGGGAAGGAGGGGGCGGAGGAGGCCGGCCUGGGUGUGGCGGGCUGGGAGCUCGCAUCCCCUGAGAGGGGACGUUGGUACCUGGGGAUGGAGCGUCCGGGACACAAUGAGCCUUAAGGAAGGAGCGUGGGCCUCAACCGUGUCGGGGGAGGUUCCGAAGCUUCGCACUCAUGGCAGCGCGUAGCGGUCCCUUGUCUGACGGGAGCCGUGGGGGAAGGAGGAUCGCUGAGGCGGUGUUUCUGACCUCUCCGAAAGGCUUUUGAGACCCGCGGACGGGGGGUGCUUCGGAAAUGUGGCACGCUGCUAUAGGCUGUUACUCCAUGGGCUGUUACACCUCUGGGUGCCCUCGUCAGCCCCACACCUACAACGUGGGGCAUCCGCCGCCUGCAAAUACGCUCCUCGGCCCUUCUUUUCCUUCACCUUUAAAUAACAUAAGGCACAUUUUACUCUCCCUGAGCACCACUUACAUUUUUCUAGCCAGAAAGGGUCUAACUGACAACUGUUCGAAAUACCCAUUUCUGCGUGCGGGAAGCAAAGAGUUAACGCGGGGCGCGCAGAUAAAACUUUUGCCAGAGGAAGCGGCGUGGUGUGCGGGGCUGACAGGAAGCUGCAGCAGAGGCUGCUGGCGAGGGGAGUGGGUGUGGAGGAAGCACGGCCGCUCCGUUUGUGGCACAGAGAUAGAAAAGGGAAAAAGCGAUGACAUUUACCCCCGUUGCACGCCGGAGUGGGCCCGGCUGAAAAGGGAGACGCACAGCGUGGAGUGGGUGCGUGGGAGAGGCCGGAGGUCGGAGCCAACGGAGCCAAAGCAGCCACUGGGAUGUGCUGCUUUGGUAGGAGCAGCUUUGUCGAGGCUCAGGGCACCGAGAAAGUGACACGUUUUAAAAAUGAGCGUUGCUUUUAAAUCCUAGACGUCAUAAAAUCUCUUCCAAAGUCCAGACAAAUCUCUUGGUGUUGUGCAGCUUAAACCCUCAUGCAGUACUUUGAUAAUGAAUCCCCGUAAGUGACGGUUAAUGCGCAAGAGCUGAUGUUGUGAGAAGCGGAGUGUGCAGAAAUGCAGUCGGUUUUCAGCAGGGCAUCCAUUGUGGGGCAGAGAUGUUGAAAUAGAUGGUGUCUGUCUGAAAUGUGAACCAGAAGAACAUCUCUUGCCUGUGUUAGCUGGAAAGUUUACGUACUCACCAAACAGAAGCAGCGUCGGUUUCUUCAGGCUUCUCUGUCAUUAGAUAUUAUUAUCAGCUCCCAGCAAUAAGCAUGACACCGAUAAAAAGGACAAACAGGAAGAUGUAUCCUCUGCCCUCCCAACUUCUAGAUCAGACCUAGAUUAAUCGCAAAUAACAAGCAGUGUUCAGAGAGCAGAUGAGUGCCAUUGCCAGAGCAAUACUUUGCAGUGUGCCUUUAACUGCCCUGUGCCUUACAGGCAGCAUGGUGAGUAUUGUUCUUUGCAGUGCAACAAGAAAACAGGAAGGGGCC